CGUAGGGGCAAGCGUUGUCCGGAUUUAUUGGGCGUAAAGGGCGCGCAGGCGGCCUCUUAAGUCAGUUGUGAAAGGUCCCGGCUCAACCGGGGAGCGGCAGCUGAAACUGGGAGGCUUGAGUGCAGGAGAGGAGAGCGGAAUUCUCGGUGUAGCGGUGGAAUGCGUAGAGAUCGGGAGGAACACCAGUGGCGAAGGCGGCUCUCUGGCCUGUUACUGACGCUGAGACGCGAAAGCGUGGGGAGCGAACAGGAUU
rnacentral:rRNA from 1 species